CCAGACCCUGACAUUUGGUACAGAGGGAAAGUGAAGCACAAUGGAAUGUAAUGGCUAAAAUGUAAAGGUUAAAAAAUAGUAAUAAAAAGGAAUAUAAUGGGGUAGUUCAUUCCCUGUGGGAUGUCCAUAAAUACAAGAUGCGCCAGCAACUCCUGAAAUGACAAAAUAUAAAAGGAUUGCAGAAUUAUGGUUCUGUCCUCCAGAACUGAGAAACACAUUUUGGAGACAAAUAGAGAAAUCUCAGCUUUAAAAAAUGAGCCCUUAUGUUGUGCUGGCAACCUUGUUAACGAAGAAAAAUGUAUUUAUUGUUUGCUGUCUAACUGACAAUAACACACAAUAUUAAGAAAAAAUUAAUGCCAGCUGAGUCCAGCACAUUUGGAGACAGCUAGAAGAGGAUGAUACUUCCUAACUUUUUCAUUUACUGUAGGGCUAGACUUGAAUAUUUACACAACAGUUGAGUUCCAGUUUCUUCCAUGGCAGCCUCAAAAUUCACUGAUCCUAUUCUCUGCAUGCUUCCAUGGUACAGACGGUAACCAUGAUUACAUGGAUACCUAAUGACUUAGAUAAGAUUUGGUGUAGUUUGGUGAUCUACUCAGAGAAACUAGACCAUCAGUUUCCCACUGCACUAGUGAGGCAGGAUAAUUAAUUCUUAUUAAAAUCAGCAAAUUUAAAAAGAAGGUGGAAUGGUGAUUUGCAGAUUUCCUUUUAGCAAGCCACAAGUACAUCUGUAUGGUCCUUCUUGUGAAUCUUUUUCACCAUACCUGGAACAACUGGAAAAAGCAGAUGCACACAAGGAUCAUAUGACUACUUCAUGUCAGCUUAGAGAAAGAAACAGAGGUAAAGUUCACAGGCCCCAAAGAGUAAGUGAAAAAAAGGUCACAGACUCACUCUUUGCCCUUCAGGGAGCAGAAAUAAUGGGGAGUGAGGAAGAUUGACUGAAAGAUUAGGAUUUUAUAAACUUUAUUACUAGUGUUGAAAAGGGUUAUCAACAAAGAGCUUUCAGUUUAAAUUUUAGAUGGUGAGAACACCAGCAGUAUGUGGGGCCAGAUGAAACAAAUCAUCCAUCAAACUGUAAAAGCCUAUCUCCCCAUCCUUUACCCUUUUGGCAGUGUUUUCUUCCUUUCACAGUUUGUUCUGCCCUUACAGACUCUCUACUCAGCUGUGGAAAUUUGCUCUUCCCCUGGAAAAAGACAGCAUUGAUCUAGCAGGCAUCAGGGUCCAGGGUGACCCUACUAUAAAUGUACGUGCAUCUCCUAUGCAUGGCAGAGGGGACUUUAACCUGAUCUGAAGCUAAUGGAGCAAGCAAGAACGUGAGCACAGAGGGCAAAACUGCUCUCAACUCCACAUUGAUGACAUCUAGAACCACAGCAGCUUUAAGAUAAAAGAGAAGAUGCCCCUGAACUUUGAAGUCUGGUGAAAUACAUGCUCCAGGCAGCACACAAUACAGAGAGAGUAUCUGUGUCAUCUGUUUCGGGCUCUGGGGCAAGAUAACCAGGCUGUAGUUUGAAAGAGGUGUUAAUCAGUGAUCCUCUGACAAGGAGCAGUGAGUUGGAGGGAAGUUUCAAUGACCAAGUGUCUGCAACCUGUCACGGCUGUAAAGAGAGAAACAAAUCAAGUACUUGUGGAUGCUAUUCAAUAGCACAAGGCACACGCAGCCCCCAAGGACAUGAAUAUUCAACAGGUGUAACUAAUUACCAACACACCUGUAAGCAGUGUUUCCUAGAAGAGCUAUCACGUAUUUCUUCUGUAAUAAAGGAGUCAGGCUGACUGAUAUGAUAUGCAUAUGGAUGUCAUCUCCAAUAUAAAUACUGCAGGAAAGGGACUUCUACAGGAGGUGAGUGCUGGCUUAGGUGACUGUGCUCUGAGGAGACUGUAAGAGAGAACAGCAGAAAGAAGAGGUUCAGAAAAUAGGACCUAAAAUAGAGGUUGAAACAACUGUCUGUCUUUGGUCUAUAAGCAAGAAAAUUCAAGUGAGAUGUAUGUCUUCUAACACAAAAAGGACUAUAAAGGUUAUAAAGAAAGGAUCGAUAAAACUGUUGCUGUGUAAUUGUCAGUUCUGCUAAGGGAAAUGGCAAAAUGAAAUUAGUUUAAUUCGCAACAAAGGAGAAUUCAGACUUACAUUUUUGGGGUUUGUUUUUGGUUUAGAAAGCAUAUUGAUUUGGGCUGAAAAUUUAAAGAACUCUUAAUACUAAGAGCAAUAAAGUUCUUCAACAGCCUUCCAGUAGGAGUAAUGAUGAUAAAUUGGUAAAGCUCACUAUUUUUAAGGUGGACUUUAAAUACACUGUGUAGAACAUACAAAUCUAAAUAGAAAGUUAAAUGGAUUUUGUAAAAUCAGUACUCCAGUAUGUACUGAUACAGUUCACAAUAAAGACGCAGUAGUGCUUGUAGUGGUCCUGUUCUGAUUUGUCUUUAACUUUUUGGAAUAGUGAAGUAACACUUCCUUUUUGCUCUUUGUAAAGGUCAGGUAGCAUUUCAUAUAGACUUGCCCACAUUUCAUCAGGGAUAUAGAUGGUGAAAUUUUACAACCAAGCAGUAUUUCUGGACCUGCAGUAUAGAGUUAUAGCAUUAGCCUUACAUCUCUCCUUUGCCCUUUUGGUUGUUGCAAUCUAUUGCUGUCCCACAGCAUUUCAGCCAGAUAAAAUUGUUUCAGGGAACCAGAUUCCAGGC